CCUACGGGCGGCAGCAGUGGGGAAUAUUGGACAAUGGGGGGAACCCUGAUCCAGCCAUGCCGCGUGUGUGAAGAAGGCCCUCGGGUUGUAAAGCACUUUCAGUGAGGAAGAACGCCUGGUGGUUAAUACCCAUCAGGAAAGACAUCACUCACAGAAGAAGCACCGGCUAACUCCGUGCCAGCAGCCGCAGUAAUACGGAGGGUGCGAGCGUUAAUCGGAAUUACUGGGCGUAAAGCGCGCGUAGGUGGCUUGAUAAGCCGGUUGUGAAAGCCCCGGGCUCAACCUGGGAACGGCAUCCGGAACUGUCAAGCUAGAGUGCAGGAGAGGAAGGUAGAAUUCCCGGUGUAGCGGUGAAAUGCGUAGAGAUCGGGAGGAAUACCAGUGGCGAAGGCGGCCUUCUGGACUGACACUGACACUGAGGUGCGAAAGCGUGGGUAGCAAACAGGAUUAGAUACCCUAGUAGUC
rnacentral:rRNA from 1 species